rnacentral:lncRNA from 1 species
GAAGAGAGAAUGAUGUUAAAGUUGGCCAGAAGUAUGCCUCAGUGGUAAGUUGUCUCCUGGCAUAGGCAGAGCCUGCUGUUCAAUUUCCAGCACUGCAAAAGAAAAAAAUAAUAAAAUAAAAAGGUGAGCUCAUAUUUGCUUUUGCUCAUGUUCUCAAUUUUUCAAUGUGUUUUUUUCUUAUAAUAGGUGAAAAACCUUUUGAAUGUUCAAAUUGUCACGAGCGGUUUGCUAGAAAUAGCACUCUCAAAUGUCACCUCACUGCGUGCCAAACUGGAGUAGGGGCAAAAAAGGGAAGGAAGAAGCUUUAUGAAUGCCAGGUCUGUAACAGUGUAUUUAACAGCUGGGACCAGUUCAAAGAUCACUUGGUAAUACACACUGGAGAUAAACCCAACCAUUG